AUUGAACGCUGGCGGCAGGCCUAACACAUGCAAGUCGAGCGAGCGGCGGACGGGUGAGUAAUGCCUGGGAAUUGCCCAGUCGAGGGGGAUAACAGUUGGAAACGACUGCUAAUACCGCAUACGUCUGGAUUGCCCAGGUGGGAUUAGCUUGUUGGGGAGGUAAUGGCUCACCAAGGCGACGAUCCCUAGCUGGUCUGAGAGGAUGAUCAGCAACACUGGAACUGAGACACGGUCCAGACUCCGACGGGAGGCAGCAGUGGGGAAUAUUCCGCAAUGGGGGAAACCCUGAGGCAGCCAGGCCGCGUGUGUGAAGAAGGCCUUCGGGUUGUAAAGCUCUUUCAGCGAGGAGGCGUUACUCACAGAGGAAGCACCGGCUAACUCCGUGCCAGCAGCCGCGGUAAUUC
rnacentral:rRNA from 1 species